CAGUAGCCACGGUAAUACGUAGGGUGCGAGCGUUAAUCGGAAUUACUGGCGUAAAGCGUGCGCAGGCGGUUCGUUAAGACAGAUGUGAAAUCCCCGGGCUUAACCUGGGAACUGCAUUUGUGACUGGCGAGCUAGAGUAUGGCAGAGGGGGGUAGAAUUCCACGUGUAGCAGUGAAAUGCGUAGAGAUGUGGAGGAAUACCGAUGGCGAAGGCAGCCCCCUGGGCCAAUACUGACGCUCAUGCACGAAAGCGGGGGGAGCAAACAGGAUUAGAUACCCCAGUAGUCCCUGUCUCUUAUACA
rnacentral:rRNA from 1 species